UUUAGGGUUUUUGGAGGUACUCUCGACCCCAGCAGCCCCCUAGGCGAUUUUCACUUGAUUUCCCUUAGUUUUAGAGUAGUUAAAACAUCAACAAACAUCUUUUGGCUUUGUGGAUUGAAGAUCAUGUUAGUUUUCAUUACAUUGGAUUGAAGUUUUGGAUCGUACUCGUUGUAAGAACUCAGUUAAUGUUUUCUAUAAGAUUGAAUGCU
rnacentral:lncRNA from 1 species